rnacentral:rRNA from 1 species
UAAGGAAUAUUGGUCAAUGGACGCAAGUCUGAACCAGCCAUGCCGCGUGGAGGAUGAAGGUCCUCUGGAUUGUAAACUUCUUUUAUCUGGGACGAAAAAAGGGAAUUCUUUCUCGUCUGACGGUACCAGAUGAAUAAGCACCGGCUAACUCCGUGCCAGCAGCCGCGGUAAUACGGAGGGUGCAAGCGUUAUCCGGAUUCACUGGGUUUAAAGGGUGCGUAGGCGGGUAUGUAAGUCCGUGGUGAAAUCUCCGAGCUUAACUCGGAAACUGCCAUGGGUACUGCGUAUCUUGAAUGUUGUGGAGGUGAGCGGAAUAUGUCAUGUAGCGGUGAAAUGCUUAGAUAUGACAUAGAACACCAAUUGCGAAGGCAGCUCACUACACAAAUAUUGACGCUGAGGC